rnacentral:lncRNA from 1 species
UUCAAAAUUAAAUCUAUCGGAUUAUCUACCCAUUCCCACGUCCUUCGUAUUAAUGAGCAAAGGACAAUGAUCUGAGAAAGAAUGUGGGAGGUGUCUCAAAGAAUACCGUGGGAAUUACUGAAGCCAACCAUCAUUAGCAACCCCUCUAUCAAUACGUUCCCUAAUAUUUUGUUCAACAGUUUUACCUCUUUCUCAUGUGAACCAAGCUCCUGAAAAACCUAUAUCUUCCAGUCAACAAGCUUCCAAAGUCUUACGGAAAACCUCCAUUCGAGCCUUCUCCCUUAGCAAACCUCCUUGUUUUUCAUGAGCAAAAAGAAUAUCGUUAAAGUCUCCCCCAACCAGCUAUGGUAAAGAGUUAUCCCUCCCUAAUCUUCGAAGUAACUCCCAAGUCACCGAUUUAUUUCUAACCUCUGGAGCCCCAUAAAACCCUGUGAAUCGCC